AUGAGCAAGAGUAAUCCAGACAAAGUUCCAGGAACGACUACGCAUCGUUCCCCAUUUAAAGACAUAACGAACUCGUCUAUGAUUGAGAAUGCAAAUGUCACUACUAAUAGUCAAGAAGCAAAAAAGAAUACAUUGUAUGCCCGAAUGUCUGAUGAGAAGAGAGCAACAUUCCUUGAAAAACGUUGUAUGUCCCGACAAGAAAAGAAGUCUCAGGCUCUGAAUAUUGUUAAUGGUCAACUAACAGUUGAGGCACAUGCUCCGUUAGGAUCCAAGGAAUGUACACCUUUGAGAAACAUAACCAACACACACACAAAUGAUGCAACAUGUACUGAAGCCGUAGGACGCCCUUGA
rnacentral:rRNA from 1 species